GGAUUCUGCGGGGGGAACGUGUGAAGCGAAGGCCGUCGGUUCGAAUCCGACAGGGGGCUCCA
rnacentral:tRNA from 1 species